ensembl:snRNA U6 U6 spliceosomal RNA
CUGGAAAUAUUUAGCAGAUAUACUAAAAUUGAAGCAAUGCAGAGAAGAUUAGUGAGGCCUCUGUGGAAAGAUGACAUGUAAAUCUGUGAAGUGUUCUAGUUUGUU